UGCCAACCUUGAGCCAGACGGAGUGAGAUUCUUGGGACACUCCUUUCAGAUGCCUGCAAAGAGGGUGAAAGUAAGGAGAUGACUCAUUUUUGGGCUUACCCUGGCAAUCUCUUCCAUGAGGAUCUCAUCAUUCUGUUCUCGUGCUGUCAAGAUGAAUCAAGGAACACCAACAUCAGAUGCUUUCCGGGGACAGUUUUGAGCACUGUUUGCAAUGGGCUAAUGAGGGCGACCAGAACUACCAUGAUUGCUGCAGUUUGCACCACUACACUGGUGGUAUGUAAGUAUUACAUUCAUCAUACCGUGCCCCAAUACAAAACACACGCAUGUGAUGAAGACAUCAUCUCCUCAGAUUCAUACAGUGAGAGGCACUUUGCACCAAGUGGAGUUUCUUAAAUAUAUAGCCUUUA